rnacentral:rRNA from 1 species
UACGUAGGGUGCAAGCGUUGUCCGGAAUUAUUGGGCGUAAAGAGCUUGUAGGCGGUUUGUCGCGUCUGCUGUGAAAUUUCGGGGCUCAACCCCGAACUUGCAGUGGGUACGGGCAGACUAGAGUGUGGUAGGGGAGACUGGAAUUCCUGGUGUAGCGGUGAAAUGCGUAGAUAUCAGGAGGAACACCGAUGGCGAAGGCAGGUCUCUGGGCUGAAACUGACGCUCAUGCACGAAAGCGUGGGGAGCAAACAGG